rnacentral:rRNA from 1 species
UACAGAGGUCUCAAGCGUUGUUCGGAUUCAUUGGGCGUAAAGGGUGCGUAGGCGGCGCGGUAAGUCGGGUGUGAAAUCUCGGGGCUUAACUCCGAAACUGCAUUCGAUACUGCCGUGCUUGAGGACUGGAGAGGAGACUGGAAUUUACGGUGUAGCGGUGAAAUGCGUAGAUAUCGUAAGGAAGACCAGUGGCGAAGGCGGGUCUCUGGGACAGUUCCUGACGCUGAGGCACGAAGGCCAGGGGGAGCAAACGGG